GGUGGGGGGAGGGGGCAGAAGAUAAUGAUUUUCCAGAUAUGAGAAGAAGAAAGAGAAGUACUGACCAUUUGACUUUUAAGAUUGCUUCUGUCCCACCACGGAAAUAAAGUACCAAAGGAUCAAGUAAAUUGAUUUUACAGGCCAAAGUCACUCAGAAUUUUUAAGUAUCAUGAUAUGGAGUUGGCUUUAUGCUUAUUUAUUAUAGAGAAUUUUCUGUUAUUUCUAGUUUAUAAUAUACUUUCACAAUGAAGAGCUCAUUCGAUUUUCACCUCUUCCCAGAAAGUCUGAGAAAAAGGAAAUGUGAGAGACUGAAGGCAAUGAGAAUUUUACAAAAUUAAUUUAUUAGAGUGUUUAUCAGAAUUUGUAAGUAUGGUACUAUAACAUUUACAUUAAUGCUUUUAGGGGUUAAGAGGAGAUUUCAAACGAAAAUCAGAAAUGUUUCACACUACAAGAAUAGUGAAUGAAAGGCAAUAAUAUAUGACAUGUGUUAUCAAAGAGCAGAGCCUUCCAAGUUGUAAAAGUUGUAUAAUGAGAAUACAGGAACAGAUGAACCACUGGAAUCAGGAUUAGGCCUUAUUAACACAACUGAUAUGCCCUAGCCUGCAAAGGUAUAUUUUCUUGUGUUACUCACUGAACAGAUAUUUUUAUUUUCCUGGUAUUCUUAGGUGGCCAUUAUUAUUGGUACUCAACCUGUGAUUACCAAUGGGUAAGAACAAAGUUUAUGAAUUCAGGAAGCUCUCAGUGACAACCAGGUCAGGGGCAAGACAAGAACAACAUUAGGAGACUCUCUGUGAAGAGGUAUGGAUACAGCUAAAACGGACUAUAAUAAGUUUGGAAUUCAACCUUACCACUCUGAUAGAUGAUCUGAGAGCUCAACUGGAAGCCUGACCGGAAGAAGAGACAUCAAGGAUUCAUUUGCACAAGGGAACAACCAUGUGAAGAGGCAACAAGGAGGUGAACAUCUGCAAGCCCAGAAGAGAAACCUCAGGAGAAAUCAGUCUUGCUGGCAUCAUGUUCUUGGACUUCCACCCUCCAGAACUAUCUUCAGGUCAAGAGAAGACCUGUCUAUCUGGGAAAUGUCAUCUACACCUUAAGCACCUUUAAACAAAGAUGUACUACUGUUGCUAUUUGUGUGGAAUUGCUUCGUGUCUGGGGUCACUGCUGUCGGAGACCUGCUUGUGAAUUUGCCAAGCAAGGAGCCAAAGAACUGGAACAACAUCUAACAAGAGGCCAGGCCUGAUAUUUGGCGUGGAAACCUGGGAGAUUCUCUGUUUUGAAGGUAAGGUGAUGGAGGGAGCAGGUGUGUUUUCUGGGGGUUGCCUUGUGACGUCGUCCAGAGUCUGGUGAGAACUGGUGAGUAGUGCGCAUGUGGUGCAAAUCCCGGAGUUCUUGUGCUUUUUGUUAUGACCCUAGGACUAAGGAAAUGGCAUUUUGGAAAUCCAA